rnacentral:rRNA from 1 species
UUAUUUGAGAGUUUGAUCCUGGCUCAGGAUGAACGCUGGCGGCGUGCCUAACACAUGCAAGUUGAGCGAUUUACUUCGGUAAAGAGCGGCGGACGGGUGAGUAACGCGUGGGUAACCUACCCUGUACACACGGAUAACAUACCGAAAGGUAUGCUAAUACGGGAUAACAUAUUUGAGAGGCAUCUCUUGAAUAUCAAAGGUGAGCCAGUACAGGAUGGACCCGCGUCUGAUUAGCUAGUUGGUAAGGUAACGGCUUACCAAGGCGACGAUCAGUAGCCGACCUGAGAGGGUGAUCGGCCACAUUGGAACUGAGACACGGUCCAAACUCCUACGGGAGGCAGCAGUGGGGAAUAUUGCACAAUGGGCGAAAGCCUGAUGCAGCAACGCCGCGUGAGUGAUGAAGGCUUUCGGGUCGUAAAACUCUGUCCUCAAGGAAGAUAAUGACGGUACUUGAGGAGGAAGCCCCGGCUAAC